CUCUAGGCUGGUUGAAAGUUUGUCAAGAUUUCUGAGGAGCCCCCCACUCCCCACAAACCCGGGCAUCAGAAAAGAAAUGGAUCAGAUGCUUCAGAGAAGAAAUAAUUUUGUAGGAAGUCAGGAGACCUAAGUUUAGUCUACUAAGACCCUUCCUUGUGUCCUUGGAUCACUGGCCUGAGUCCAGAGAAUUCUGAGCCCUGCAGCCCUUUCUGCCUGGAGGGGAACCGAGCAGGGAGGGAGCUGCACCAAACAUGCGCCCUCUGCUCCUUAGAGGCCUGAUGCUCCCUUCAGUUUACUCUGGCUUGACAGCUCCAUUUCAACCCCCACCUUGGAGAUGAGGCAGCUCAAUAUUUACUCAGCCAGAGAGCAAGUGUAAACCCAAGAAAAGACUCAACUUUGGAAAUGUAAAGGAUUUGAAGGACCAGCUGGAUGUUUCUAUUGGCAGAAAAUGGACAGAGAAGACCUCCUGCAGGGACACCCAAGAGAAGUGAGCCUGUCUCAACCCUUCCUUUCCAUCUUCCCACUUCCCACAGAAGCUAGUGUCAGAUUCCCUUCUCCACCACUAUACCAGGGUUUGGUUUCAUCUUUUCCAAAAACAUCUGGGUUGUCUUCCCCCUUCUAAGGUGAGUAAGGUGAAUUCACACAGGGCUAUGGGUUUAGAUUUUUUGGGAUCAGAAAGGGGACAACAUUACUGGAACUCAAGGGCAAGGAUGGCCACCUGUUGGAAGCUUCACAGAGCCCUUGGGAAGAUCAGUCUGGCAUGGUCGGUUACCAUCAGUGGAAAUUGUUGAGAAUUGAUGACAUCUUCUUGCUUCCUUCUUCCGCACAUGGAUCUACACACAUG
rnacentral:lncRNA from 10 species